CCCACCAGGGUUUUCUAAUUACAAAAAUGAUAACUCUGAUGGGAAAAAAAGAAUUUUAGAAGGGUCAUUUUCAAAUUUUAAUAUCCAAGAAUAAGCUAAGAAAACUAUAGAUAUGGGAGAUGAUGAGGGAUUUAUUGUGGGUGGUUGUUUUUCUCGAGUUCCAGAAGUCUUUGGUGGUCAUGUUGAUAAAAGAUGAUACCCAUGAAUUGCAUCUCUAUAAAUAUUCAAGGGGUAGGGUGAAAAUCUUGUGUUAUAAACAUAAGGUUAACUUUUUGGCAAUUCAAGAAACGAAGAUGGAAACUUUAGACUUGGGUGUGGUAUGUUCGUUUUGGGAAAACACUAGUUUUUCUCAUGUUUUCUCUCCUUCUCAAGGAGCUUCGGGAGUAAUUUUGGUUAUUUGGAACCCGAAUGAUUUUCUCAAAAAAGGGUUAUUAUUUCUAAGUGGUUUGAAGCAAGUGAGGCUGUUUGUGUGUUGUCUGGUUUAGAAGUGAUGCUUAUCUCUAUUUAUGCCCCACACAAUGUAGAGUGCAAGAGACAAUUAUGGAACAACCUUUUGCAGUUGACUGUUUCUUUCUUGGGGGUAUCAAUUUCAUGGGAGGUUUUUUAAUCAAUUCAUUGAUGAGGCACACUUGAUUGAAUGGAUCGAUUUUUGGUUUCAAUUGGUAUUCUGAGCUCUUUUCCACAUUUAUCAGGUAUGGUGUUGGAGAAGAAUAUCCCAUAUCAUCGACUUAUCCUUAUGGUGGAGCAUGCUGUCAAUUAUGGUCCUACUUCUUUUUGAUUAUUUAAUUCAUGGAUGGAGAUGGAGGGUUUUGAUGAAGUGGUCAUGGAUUCUUGGAGUCAUCCAGUUAGGGCUUCUGAAGAUGCUAAUCCUUGGAUUAGAUUUAAGAAGAAACUCCACCAUCUUAAAUCUAAUUUGAGGGUUUGCAACUCUUAUGCUAGGACUCAGAUGUUUGGGAAAAGAUCUGAGAUUCAAGAGAACAUAGAAUCUCUUGAUCAACGUCUUAUGGAGAAUGAUGGCUAGAAUCUCUUGCGGGAACAAAGAAUCACUCUUGCAAAAGAAUCAUCAUAUAUUCAGCACCUCACUCAGAUUGAUUUAAUGUAGAAGGUGAAGAUUCAGUGGGGUGUUGAGGGUGAUGAGAAUUCUAGCUUUUUUCAUGACACUGUUAAUUGUAAGAGACGAAAGCUUGCCAUUCGUGGUGUUAUGCGGGAUGAGUUGUGGAUUGGUGCGCCGAUGCUUGUUAAGGAUCCGUUUCAGGAUUUUUAUCAGUCCCUUUAUAAAAGGCAAAGGGGUAGAAAGCUUAAGACCCAGUCGAUCCAUUUUCAUACUCGUUUCGAGUCUUAGAUCGGUUUUCUUAUUGCUCCUUUUUCUUGCAAUGAGAUUAAAAGUUUCCAGAAGGUUUUUCUUUUGGCUUCUUCAAAAGAUAUUAGGAUCUUUUGUCUGUUGACAUUGAGGUGUUUGUCUCUCACUUUCAUCAUCAUUCCUCCAUUCCUAAGGGAUGUAAUUCAUCCUUUUUCAUUGUGAUCUCGAAUGUUAGAGACCUAAAAUUUGUUAAAGAUUUCAUACCUAUUAGUUAAUUAUUGGCAAACUCUUAGCUAAGAGGGUAGCAGAGGUUAUUGAUUCGGUGGUCAGCUUGGAGCAAUCUACUUUUGUUAAAGGUAGACAGAUUUUAGAUGGUCCAUUCUUAUUGAAUUAAGUGGUCUCUUGGAAAAAAGCUGCAAAACAUCCCCUAAUGAUCUUCAAGGUGGAUUUUGAAAAGGCUUAUGACUCUUUUUCUGAGGAUUACUUGCUAGAGAUGAUGCAAAUUAUGGGGUUUGGGCCAAUCUGGUGUGGAUGGAUUUUAGAGAUGUUGAGGUCUUCUAGAGUUUCUGUUUUGGUCAAUUGUUCUCCUACUGUUGAGCUCCAAAUGAUCAGAGGCCUUAGGCAGGGAGAUCCCUUGUUCCCUUUCUUAUUUAUUUUAGCUAUGGAAGGGUUCCAUGUCGCCUUGGUGAGGGCCCAGUUGGCUAAUGCAUUCAGGGGGAUCAGUGUUAGUGGUAUGGAGAUUUCUCCUUUAUUUUAUGCCGAUGAUGCGGUGCUUCUGAUAAAUUGGGAUCUAAAGAAUACUAACAUGAUUGUUUGUAUCAUGUGUUGCUUCUUUCUCACCUCGGGUCUGAAAAUCAGUUUGCUUAAAAGCAAAUUGAUUGGUGUAGGAGUCCUGUUUUCUUAGGUUGUGAAUGUUGCUAAUCAUGUUGGUUGUGGAGCUGAUUCUAUUCCGUUCAUUCAUCUAGGUGUGCAUAUGGGUCGGAACAUGGCUCAAGUUUCCGCUUGAUCACCAGUUAUUGAGCGCAUUAGGAGUCGUCUGGAUGGGUGGAAGGCACACUAUUUUUCAUUUGGUGGUCGCCUUACUCUGAUAAAAUCUGUAUUGGGCAGCUUAAGAAUUUAUUUGAUGUUUAUUUUUCCGGUUCCAGUUACAGUUAUCCAGCAGUUGGAGUCUCUUAGGGCUAGAUUUUGUUGGGGUGCGGAUCGUGAUGAUAGAUGUAUGCAUUGGAUUAGAUGGGAUAGAGUGACGGGGAGUAGAGCAGACGGUGGAUUGGAUGUAGGUAGCUUGUAUUCGUUUAAUAGUGCUCUUCUCUUACUCCUAAAAAUGCUUAUUCGGGUCCUUAGAAUAGUAUUAUUCAUGCCUUACGUAUUCUGAGGAAUCGGGAUUUUGAUCUUCAGUCUUUUUGUCCGAUCUGUGUGGGUGACGGGAGAAUUACUUCUUUUUGGAUGGAUGUCUGGUGUGGUACCUCCCCCAUUUCCAUGAGGUUUCAGAGGAUUUUUGCGCUUGAUGUGCAUAGGUAGGCGUCAGUUCGGGAUCGUUUUUUGAUUGGUUUAGAGACCCAUUCUAUUAGACGUAAGCCUAAGGGAGGUAUGGAACAAUCGCAAUGGGAGGAGCUUACUGCUCUUUUACAGGUUGAAGUGUGCCAACAAGAUAUGGGGCGUGCAAGUAUGAUGGAGAAAUUUCAAAAGAGAAGUGUUGUAAAAUCAUGGCAAACACCAUUUUCGCUUCUAACAUAGCAAAAAUUUGCCCAACAUAUAUACAUGGACCUCCUCCAAACGGAAGGAUCAUUAUGUAAAUGGAUAGUACUCACUUGGAGGAGAGUUCCAGCUGGUAACAUUAUGUCUCCUAAUUUGUUUUCUUUGUGUACCAUACGUCCUAACCGGUGGAUAUAGCCUAAGAACUUUGUUAAAAAUCAUGUUGACCUGUUACACACAAUAAUUAGUACAAUAUAUAAAUGAACAAUGUUGAAGCAAAUAUAGGGCCUUCAUAAUGAUGGAAAUACUUACUACUUUUAGAUGAUUUAACCCCUCAAAAUCCGGUUUUUUGUCUCUAAAAAUGUGUAAAACUUCAUCUGUAGGCUCUAGCACGUUCUUGCCAGUUACUGUGUUGACCCAAUAAAAUCAUAGUCCAAAUCAAUAAAUUUCUUGUAGUUUCUUGUCCAACAAUAUAAAAUAGCUUGCAUUUCUCAAUAAUUUCUUCGAUUGUUAGCCCUGAGUUUCUAUUACUCUCUUGUUUAAUUUCAUCAUUAUUUGAUUUCAAAAGAAUUUCUAGCAGGUCGUCAUUACUACUUUUCCCAGCUUUCAUUGCAACAAGUCGACUAUCAAUAAUACCUCUUAUUGAAGCUUUGACUUUUUGGUUUAUCUCUUUCACCCUCUUGUUGUGUUUUAUUGGCAAAUGGCUACAAGAUCGUGUUUAAUAGCUCACAAGUCAGAUUUUCAAGAGUAAAAAUUAGGAAAUACACUUGAACUACAAAUUGGAUAUAGUUGUUUAUUUUAAAAACAUCAAUCAUAACAUGAUUAGACCAAUCCUCAAAAACAAUCUAACAUGCUCACCUUGAUCCUGGAAUGUAAAUUGACUGUGUUGACUUUAUAACCAAUUCAAGCAUUUCCUGCUGAAGUUCAAAUAUCUUUCUUCCUUCAUCAAAACUACUACCAAAUACUGUACGUGAAAUUGGAUCAUUAGAAAGUGUCUGGAGAUAAGGACAAACAUCAACUUCACAGGAGCUUUCUUUGGUGAGCAUCUCCGCCCAUUUGUUUACCAGAUCAUUGCAACUCGUAUAGAAUGCAGGUACUAUAAGCUACAGACAAAUGUAUACAAAUUUAGAAGUGUUAGAUUUCUUUUUCAAUAUUGUAAUUGAUAGAGAGAAGGGGGAAUAAACCUUUAACUUUUCAACAUGGAAUGCAGGAUUGAUAAUCUUUCUAUGUUUGACCCAUUUGUCACCUUUAGCAUCAAUGACCCCUUUCAUUAGCUUUCUUAUUAUAGGAUUUCCUCCUCUUGCUUUCGCAAAUUUAUAAUAAUUAGCCAACAUCUCUUUUACCAAGAUAGGUUCAGUCACGUACACCAUAGGUUUUGGUCCCAUCCACGCGAAACAAAUCUUACCUAUAAAACAUAAGCAUAUAUAUAUAUAUCAGUUAACUUCCAUAUUUUUGGAAUAUUGUUCCCAUAAAAAUUAUUUUUAAUAUUUAUCCGAAAAUAUAAAAAAUGAUACGAUUUGUUGUCUUAUUAACCGGUUUCUAUUUUAAACAACUAAUUUUCUCUAACCUGGCUAUUGUUAUUGCUUCCUUUCUUCGAAUUAGGUUACGAUUAAAAAAAAUGCACGUCCAUAAGGGAGAGGAAAGGUCGCCAAUCAAAUUGUAAGUUUUUUGGGGUUGUAGUAGUUAUUAACGGAGACUAACCAAUGGCAUCAUCAUAAGUAAUAGGGAUGAAACUGGGUCCAAACCCGGACUGGAUGGACCUGGACCUAGAAAACCCGGAACUGGUUAGAUAUGCAUUUUUUAAAACUUUCACAGAGUACAAAAAUGCUGAAAAACUAAAAACUUCCAACUUUGAUAUCUUCACUUUGGGAGAGCAUAAAUCAAUGAAUAUAAAACUAAAAAUGACAAAUUUUAGUUUAAAAUCAUGUAAAAACUCUAAACUACGGGUCGGAAAAAACUGUAUGUCAAUCCAAGUUAUAACGAAUGAGAUAUACAUGUUUUAAACGCUUCACAGAAACCGGUUCCAGCCCCUAAAAGUGGUUCUGGUUCCUAACAUCGGUUCCGGUUCUCAGACCCGGUUUACCCAGACCCGAUGGACCCAAACUCGAAUUACCCGGAACCCGGAUGAAACCAAAUUUUAAACCCGGAACCAGAACGGGUUCUAGAUAUUCCGGUUCUAGUCCGGUUUUUCAGUUUUAAAUCUCAUCCCUAAUAGGUAACAUCACACUUCAAUCACCAAACUAAGGAUGAUUACUUAAAAAAGUUUUUUUGGGUUCUAGUUAGAGCGUCCGCGGUGCGGUUUGGUGUGACUUAUAGGUAAAACUGUAAACCGCACCGCAUAUACACAUUGAGUUUUUUUGAAACGGCAAACUGCACCACAAAUGUUUAAAACCGCGUAAUGCGAUACGGUUUGGUGUGGGCGGUUUACGCGGUUUGGAUGCGGUUUGUGCAGUCACAGGAAUUGCUUUUAAAAUAAAAAAUAUGAUUCUUUUGUUAAAAUAUUUUAAUAAAUUGUAAUUCGUGUUAUAAUGCCUUUAGUUUUAGAAGUAUGAUUGUUGUUGUUUUUUUUUUUUUGAAAUAAAAUUGUACUUUACAUAGUAAAUUUUAAAGACCUCACUCAAGUAAAUAUAAUUGCAUGUGUGGUUUUCGUUUUUUGCUUUGCCUUGACUAAAUUCUCGUGGGGUACAAGAAGUUUGAUUAGAUAUGUGUUCGGAACAGAGCGUUUGGAAGCGUUUGAGAGCUUCUAGCUUCUAACGUUUGACAAAACGCUCCGUUUUGAACAGCAAGUCUCGUUUGACACUACAAGCUUCUAGCGCUUAGUUUAAACAAAACGCUUCAAAUCCAAAUACUACUUCAUGUAAUGAUGCGACCUUGCUCUGGUUUCUUCCGUGAACUUCUCUCGAUCGUCUAGCUAUCACUGCAAGAUCACAAGAACAGAGGUCGUCAGCCGCUUUCCGGGAGGGACUCCUGGAAGAACGCUCUGACGGUCAAGUUAGAGGGUAUUUUAGGGUUUGUGUGUAUUCUCUCUAGAAAGCUUAGAGAACUCACUUCGUAGGUCUGAGAGCACAUCCUUUUAUACCUAGCGCUCAUGCCUGAGCCGUACCAGAUAUAAUCGCUUUUGGGGAGACAGGAUCAGAGGCGCUGAUUGGAGGGUCGUGCGCCUUCAACCGCUAGAGCGCUCUCAAUGGCUCAGAAGAUAAUGCUCUGAUCCUCCUGCUUGUCUCCUGACCGUAUCUUUUGUCCUGGAGCCAGGAGCGCCUCUUGGUGGGUGCGAGCCUUUCGCCUGUGCGCUUCGCUCCCGGGGACGCCAGCGGGCGCUAAGCCUGCUGGGCUGAGCUUAGUUGGCGUGCCCGGCUCUUGGGCUAGACGCGGUUCUGCUGUGCUGCCCUAGGCACGCCAUCAAGUCCACCAGUCUAGUAGUCGCAACGUUGCAGCGCUAAUUACGGCGUUCUGGGCUUAACUAACUGACGUGUGUCGGUUUUUCUUUAUCCGUCACUCCGUCUUUAAUGGCGACGUGACUGCGAGAUAUGACUGGCAGUUAUAUCACUGUGCCAGACAUUUAAAUGUCCCGCCUCUUCCACUUCCUUAUUAAGGGUCUCUGCACGGUUUCUCUUGCCUCAUAUGUUCUUCUUUUUCCUCUUUGCGUUCAUCUUCUAUUUUCAUUCAUGGCAAGCCUUCCCGGAAUCAUUCCAUCCACCGCCAAGUAUCGUCAAUUGGCGAUCACUUAUGGUUUGUCUUCCUUGUAGGGUGUGGAGUUUCCCUUUCCUGGUUCCAGCAUCUCUUCCCCUCCCCUAGUAAGAUUGGGGUUUAUCUGAAAACCCUAGACGCUUGUAUACGCUUUCCGCUAACGGAUUUCCAGGAGGAGGUCCUCCAGAAUGAUGGUUGUAGCCUUCAGAUGUUGACUCCCAAUGCAGUUAACAAAGUGGUUGCGUUUGAAAUGAUCUGUCGGGCCAACGGGUACCUUCCGGAUUACUUCGUCUUCAAGUUUUUCUUCCGGUUCUGUGUUACCGGAGAUAAAUGCACUUUCUCAGUCCGACGAGGGGGACACAUUUUUUGGUACAUAUCAAAUAAUAUAUAAGGACGGGUGAUUAUAUUCUCAUCCCUGUGUCUAAUUCUCAUACUCAUAUCUUAUAAAUUUUAUUUUAAAACACUAUAUGGUGUGGAUGAUGAUAUGAUUAUGUACAACUUAUUAUAUAUAAAGCAUAUAAAACAAACUAUAUAAAAUUAUAAAGUUUAAUAGGAUCUAUGCAUGAUGCGUUUUUUAGCUCCAACAAAGAGAUAUGAUGUUUUACUUGAAUAUUAUGUGAAUAAUUAACCCUUAGAUAUUUGUAUGAUGUUUGUUUGGAAAGUCGUAUUAAAAAUGUUAAUAACUAAAAACUCAAUUUUAUGAAAUACGAGGAGCUUUAAUAAAAUUAGUUCAUUGUAGAGAAUAUUAGAAUUGAACAAUAUAGUGAAUAUGUUUGGAUGUGUUGUUAGCAAGGUUCUAAAUGGCGUGAGGCGUGGCGUGACGGCAAGGCCAAACCUCAAGCUUAACGAGCCAUGGCGAGCCAUGGCGUUUUUCAAGACGUGAUGUAAGGCGGCGAUUUUGUAUUAAUUUAAAAUUAUAUUACCACAUAAAUAUAAAUUUAUAUUAAAUAUAACUACUUUUUAGAAGUGUUAGAUCAAUAAUUAAUAACAAAAAGUUAACAAAAACCACACUACUUGUAUCUCCGAUUUGAAAAGACAUAACAAAGAGCAAAAAAAUGUGUCUCAAACGAAAAAACAUGCGCCAUAACACGCCAUAACGCGUCAUGGCGCGCCAUGACGCGCCUUUUAGAACACUGGUUGUUAGUGAAGCUAACGAAAUUGUAGCGAAUGUUAGAAUUGAACCUAAAUUCUCCUAUAAAACAUCUCAUUGAAAAAAAAACAA